UGCGACCUUCAGGGGCCGCGUUCCACUGUGAGAUAACAGAACAAAAAAAAACAGACACCCAAACGAAGUUACAGUUGCCACGCGGAAGUGCUCUGGAGUCAUCCAGGGCUAGCUCCGGCGGCCGGUCGGCCGGAACAUUGGCAACGACUUGCGCUUUGAGUUGAUGACUUCUAGCAAUAGCAGGCAUCCAGGAUUCCAGGGAAACGUCUGCCUCCGCCGCUUGUCUGGCCUGCGAUGCGGCAGGUGCCCAGAACCUGUUCGACGAAAUGGGCCGGGAGAAAUCCGGCAGCCUUUUGAUUAAGUAUCGUGAUGCUAUGCUCUCCUUAUACCUGCAUUUUUCAUUGUUUUUGUUCUCUUGGUUCCAGUGGCAUACACGCAUUGCAAUGCCAUGGCCUGGCAGACAGGCGAUGAAGAGUCAAAGGAUUUUGGUGCAUCUGAAAUCGGGUGUUUGUUGUGGAUAAGGUUAUGCUAGUUUUGCAUGCUAGCCAUCAACUUGCUAGGCAACUCAUUGCGCCGUCGAGAUCGGCAUGCGGGUGCGGUGUCGUCGGUUGUAAGACGGAGUAGGAGAACUCGUGCGGGAGGAAGAAAAAAAAACAGGCAGUAGCAUAUUGGUUGUAAUUUUAAUGAAGUUAACCUACGUUGGCGACUGUAUCACCACCACCAACUCCAAUUUAAUAUAUUGGUUAUAGAUUAACCAAA